CUCCCUGAAGCGCAGAAGAUAGCGCGUUGGACUACUACUACAAAGAGCGUGGGUCCGAAUCCCACCUGGGAUA